CAGUCGUACCUAUGGGUAAUCAGCCUUUUGGGUGUGAUUUUGUGGAGCGUGAGGAGUUAAACGCCUUCAUGCCUGCAUAUUCGUGCACUUUGGGUGUACUUGCCCGUAUGGUUGGUUAACAUCAAUUUUGGUGGUCAAUAAAAUGACUGGAGGAAUGUAGCUUCGAUCUCGUAUUGAAGUGUUAUAGCCUUCGGGAAUGUGAUGAUCGAGUAUUGAGGUAUU
rnacentral:rRNA from 1 species